AGGGUUUGAUCAUGGCUCAGGAUGAACGCUAGCGGCAGGCUUAACACAUGCAAGUCGAGGGGUAGAUUUUCUUCGGAGAAUUGAGACCGGCGCACGGGUGCGUAACGCGUAUGCAACUUACCUUAUACUGGGGGAUAGCCCGGAGAAAUUCGGAUUAAUACCGCAUAUGCUCACAGUUUCGCAUGGAACAGUGAGGAAAGAUUUAUCGGUAUAAGAUAGGCAUGCGUCCUAUUAGCUUGUUGGUGAGGUAACGGCUCACCAAGGCGAUGAUAGGUAGGGGGCCUGAGAGGGUGGUCCCCCACACUGGUACUGAGACACGGACCAGACUCCUACGGAAGGCAGCAGUGAGGAAUAUUGGGCAAUGGAGGCAACUCUGACCCAGCCUAUGCCGCGUGAAGGAUGAAGGUCCUCUGGAUUGUAAACUUCUUUUGUAUGGGGAUAAACUUUUCUACGUGUAGAAAACUGAAGGUACCAUACGAAUAAGGAUCGGCUAACUCCGUGCCAGCAGCCGCGGUAAUACGGAGGAUCCAAGCGUUAUCCGGAUUUCUUGGGUUUAAAGGGUCC
rnacentral:rRNA from 1 species